AUACGGAGGGAGCGAGCGUUAAUCGGAAUUACUGGGCGUAAAGCGCGCGUAGGCGGCUUUGUAAGUCGGAUGUGAAAGCCCAGGGCUCAACCCUGGAAUUGCAUUCGAUACUGCAUGGCUAGAGUACAGUAGAGGAAAGUAGAAUUUCCGGUGUAGCGGUGAAAUGCGUAGAUAUCGGAAGGAAUACCAGUGGCGAAGGCGACUUUCUGGACUGAUACUGACACUGAGGGGCGAAAGCGUGGGGAGCAAACAGGAUUAGAAACCCCAGUAGUCC
rnacentral:rRNA from 1 species